rnacentral:rRNA from 1 species
GUUUGAUCCUGGCUCAGGACGAACGCUGGCGGCGUGCCUAACACAUGCAAGUCGAGCGGGGUGAAUCGAGUGGUUUCCACGAGAUUUACCCAGCGGCGGACGGGUGAGUAACACGUAGGCAACCUACCCACCACACGGGGAUAGCCCUGGGAAACCGGGGGUAAUACCCGAUACCUUCGCUGGUCGCAUGGCUAGUGAAGAAAGCGUUAAGCGGUGGUGGAUGGGCCUGCGGCCCAUCAGCUAGUUGGCGGGGUAACGGCCCACCAAGGCGACGACGGGUAGCCGGCCUGAGAGGGUGAACGGCCACACUGGGACUGGGACACGGCCCAGACUCCUACGGGAGGCAGCAGUGGGGAAUCUUGGGCAAUGGGGGAAACCCUGACCCAGCGACGCCGCGUGGGGGAAGAAGGCCUUCGGGUUGUAAACCCCUGUCACCGGGGACGAAGAGGACGGUACCCGGGGAGGAAGCCCCGGCUAACUACGUGCCAGCAGCCGCGGUAAUACGUAGGGGGCUAGCGUUGUCCGGAAUUACUGGGCGUAAAGGGCGUGUAGGCGGGUCUGCAAGUUGCGGGUAAAAAGCCAGGGCUCAACCCUGGACGUGCCUGCAAAACUGCGGAUCUUGAGGGCGGGAGAGGAGAGUGGAAUUCCCGGAGUAGCGGUGGAAUGCGUAGAUACCGGGAGGAACACCAGUGGCGAAGGCGGCUCUCUGGACCGACCCUGACGCUGAGGCGCGAAAGCUAGGGGAGCGAACGGGAUUAGAUACCCCGGUAGUCCUAGCCGUAAACGAUGGUCACUAGGUGUGGGCAGUUGUCAAGCUGUCCGUGCCGGAGCUAACGCAAUAAGUGACCCGCCUGGGGAGUACGGCCGCAAGGUUGAAACUCAAAGGAAUUGACGGGGGCCCGCACAAGCGGUGGAGCAUGUGGUUUAAUUCGAAGCAACGCGAAGAACCUUACCAGGCCUUGACAUGCAGGUGGUAGCGAACCGAAAGGGGAGCGACCCGAGGGAAACCGAGGGAGCCUGCACAGGUGGUGCAUGGUUGUCGUCAGCUCGUGUCGUGAGAUGUUGGGUUAAGUCCCGCAACGAGCGCAACCCCUACCUCUAGUUGCCAGCGGGUGAAGCCGGGCACUCUAGAGGAACUGCCGCCGACAAGGCGGAGGAAGGUGGGGAUGACGUCAAAUCAUCAUGCCCUUUAUGGCCUGGGCCACACACGUGCUACAAUGGCCGGUACAGCGGGGAGCGAAGGUGCGAGCCGGAGCGAAUCCCUAAAAACCGGUCUCAGUUCGGAUUGCAGGCUGCAACUCGCCUGCAUGAACGUCGAAGGUGGGGCCAGCGACUGGGGUGAAGUCGUAACAAGGUAGCCG